AUGUUUGCCCGGGCCUCGGGGGCAUCUCAAUUCUGGAGAAAUCUUGUUAAGCUCAGACCGAUCUUUCAAGGCCUCGUCAAAUUUGUUGUCCACAAUGGUAGGUCCACUAGGUUUUGGCUUGAUUGGUGGUGUGGCUCUUCUUCGCUGGCGACUGCCUUUCCUGUCCUUUUUUCUUAUCGCCCGGACCCUGAGAUCUCAAUCUCUGAGCUCGCGUCGAAUAAUUGGGACCUGCGUCUACGUUGCUCCCUCUCUCCCGCAGAGUUGGAAGACUGGCAGCGUCUUGUUGCUUUCUUCCCAUCGCUCUCGGAGGAGGAAGACACAGUUGUUUGGCCCCACUCCUCCUCUGCUCGUUUCUCGGUGAAAUCCCUCUAUGGUAAGCUUAUUGCUGGAUCCACCACCUCCAAAUUCAAUUGGAUCUGGAGGGCUCUUAUCCCUCCUAAGGUUAAGGUUUUCCUCUAG
rnacentral:rRNA from 1 species